rnacentral:tRNA from 1 species
GGAGAAUUAGCUCAGUUGGUAGAGCACUUGCUUAGCAUGUGAGAGGUAGCAGGAUGGACCACUGCAUUCUCCA